AGACGAACUGUUAACGAGGAACAGUCGAAGCGUGGGCCAAUUUCGAGCCAUAAUUGGGAUCGGAAUUGCGAUUCAAAAGUGCAACUUCUAGCACCAAUGUCGCACAUCCUUCCCUCCCAAGCCGGAACAGACGUCUGGAUCAAUCGGAUUAUCCAUCGUUAGCGGAUGUCGAGACGUCACGUCCGGAACGUUAAGGUCCUGUUUCCGCGGCAAUUCCCCGGGGUAAUCGAGGUACUGGGAGGUACGCGGUUCCAGAGAUCUCGCCUCGAGUUGGAAAGCUAAUUGGAAAAGGGAGAUACCGAUUUGCUGCAAUUUUGAAAACAACGCUUGGGCCUGCUUCCACGUAAGUCGAGGUUUUAGGUGGUAUGCUGGUUAUCAGGGGGAGAAUUAUUGCCGGUGGACUACGUUAAUGCGAGUUGCUGUACUUUUGCAUCGCGGUGCUUCCGUUCCCUCGGCGUUCGACGGCCCUUGUUCUGAUCGUUCCUUCAUUCAUUCGUUCCACGUCUCAGAUAUUCGAGUAAUGUCCUCCCCUGCGCACCUUACACAUCCGAUCGAGCCCGCGGCGUGCUUAACCCUCCGUUAACGGUGCCCUGUAUUUUUCUUCCGAGCUCGCAAUUACGCCCCGGCUCUCGAGUAUAUUUUAUUUUGCGCUCCAAUUCGAUCGCUCGCCCUCGUUCCUAUCUGUCAUUGCCCUUUCUCCGCCCCGCCCGUUCCCUCGGGUGGCCAUUACUCUUCCUUUUCGAUAAAUUCGACCCGCGAAAGUCCACACCAAUCCAGAGAUGUCAUCGUCCAAAGGUGCCUCUACCUGUUCCUCCUUCUUCUUUCCAUCUCCUUUUCUACCUUUCGCGCAUACCGCCCCUCGUGCAUAUUCAUUUAUUGCACUUGAUACGAACUCGAUUAACCGGCUUCGUUUUCAAUCAAAAAUUUCAAUCUCGUUUCUCGGUCUGGAUUGUCCCAGGGUGUCCCGAUCGAUGUCAAACCAUUUUCCGAAAUACCGAAAAUGUGUCACUAGCGCGAUUACACUUUUUAAGGGUGAUUUUAUAUGAGGAAGUUGUGAAAGUUAGUUAAG